UACGAAGGGGGCUAGCGUUGUUCGGCUUUACUGGGCGUAAAGCGCCCGUAGGCGGAUCGAUCAGUCAGGGGUGAAAUCCCAGAGCUCAACUCUGGAACUGCCUUUGAUACUGUCGAUCUGGAGUAUGGAAGAGGUGAGUGGAAUUCCGAGUGUAGAGGUGAAAUUCGUAGAUAUUCGGAGGAACACCAGUGGCGAAGGCGGCUCACUGGUCCAUUACUGACGCUGAGGUGCGAAAGCGUGGGGAGCAAACAGG
rnacentral:rRNA from 1 species